rnacentral:rRNA from 1 species
CCUACGGGUGGCAGCAGUGGGGAAUAUUGCACAAUGGGGGAAACCCUGAUGCAGCGACGCCGCGUGAGUGAAGAAGUAUUUCGGUUUGUAAAGCUCUAUCAGCAGGGAAGAAAAUGACGGUACCUGAUUAAGAAGCCCCGGCUAACUACGUGCCAGCAGCCGCGGUAAUACGUAGGGGGCAAGCGUUAUCCGGAUUUACUGGGUGUAAAGGGGGCGUAGACGGCAGCACAAGUCUGGAGUGAAAUGCCGGGGCUCAACCCCGGAACUGCUUUGGAAACUGUGCAGCUAGAGGGCAGGAGAGGUAAGUGGAAUUCCGAGUGUAGCGGUGAAAUGCGUAGAUAUUAGGAGGAACACCAGUGGCGAAGGCGGUUUACUGGACUGUAACUGACGUUGAGGCUCGAAAGCGUGGGGAGCAAACAGGAUUAGAUACCCGAGUAGUC